rnacentral:tRNA from 1 species
AGCUUAGUUGGUAAAGAAUCUGCCUGCAGUGCAGGAGACCCAGGUUCAAUCCCUGG